GUAGGUGGCAAGCGUUGUCCGGAAUUAUUGGGCGUAAAGCGCGCGCAGGUGGUUCCGUUAAGUCUGAUGUGAAAGACCCCCGGGCUCAACCGGGGGAGGGUCAUUGGAAAACUGGGGAACUUGAGUGCAGGAGAGGAAAGUGGAAUUCCACGUGUAGCGGUGAAAUGCGUAGAUAUGUGGAGGAACACCAGUGGCGAAGGCGACUUUCUGGCCUGUAACUGACACUGAGGCGCGAAAGCGUGGGGAGCAAACAGGAUUAGAUACCCUGGUAGUCCACGCCGUAAACGAUGAGUGCUAAGUGUUGGGGGGGUUUCCGCCCCUCAGUGCUGCAGCUAACGCAUUAAGCACUCCGCCUGGGGAGUACGGUCGCAAAGACUG
rnacentral:rRNA from 1 species